AGAAUCUUGCACAAUGGGCGAAAGCCUGAUGCAGCGAUGCCGCGUGGGUGAAGAAGGCCUUCGGGUCGUAAAGCCCUGUCAGAGGGAAAGAUAAUGACGGUACCCUCCAAGGAAGCCACGGCUAAUUACGUGCCAGCAGCCGCGGUAAUACGUAAGUGGCGAGCGUUAUCCGGAAUUACUGGGCGUAAAGCGUGCGUAGGCGGUGUGGUGUGUUGGAAUUGAAAGCCCUGGGCUCAACUCAGGACCCGGUUCCAAAACUGCCAGACUGGAGCGUAUCAGAGGACAGCGGAAUUCCCGGUGUAGCGGUAAUAUGCGUAGAUAUCGGGAGGAACACCAGUGGCGAAGGCGGCUGUCUGGGGUAUUGCUGACGCUGAGGCACGAAAGCCAGGGGAGCGAAC
rnacentral:rRNA from 1 species